AGGGAGGGCCCGGAGGGCCCCUCAGGCAGCGGGGAGCCGCAGUGGCACCUGUGGUGCUCGUGCUCCCACACGCCCCCGCCCGUCACAAGGGCACCUGGAGCUCGUGGGAGCAGGGGCCGUCAGAAGGACGCGGCCUUUAAGUGGCGCUGACUGGAAUCUGGUCUGAAACUGACUGGAAUCUGGUCUGAAACUGACUGGAAUCUCGUCUGAAACUGUCUGGAAUCUAGUCUGAAACCGACUGGAAUCUGGUCUGAGGCGCUGAAACCGCUUUGUCGUGAAGUCCCGCACCUUCAGUUUGGCCGUAGUGCAGGGUCAAGUUGUGGCUACAUGACCCCUGUGCCUCAUAACUACACAAUAUGAUGGCUGAGGAACCAAAGGGUGUGUCAUCAAGUCGGUAAAAGAAUGAUGAGUUGGAACAGUAGUACCAUAUGUAAUCGCCUCAAAAGUGGUGUUAUAGGAAUUAAGAGGAUUUAGAAAAGAGCAAUAUGCUGGUCAUACAUAUGAAACAUCACAGCAGCAGAAAUGGGAAAGAGUGGUAAUUUUUACCACGCAAAGAAGACAAAUAAGACAUAAGAUAAAAGCAUGCAUAAUGAUGAAUAAUGCAGAGAAAGCCAACUGGAUUUUUCUAUUACCCUUAUAUUACACAGGAACAAAAAAAAAUUAAAAAUAUGAGAACGUGAGGCUGAGGAAAUAAUUUUUCAGACACUAUGUGACUGUUCUGGAACUGAGUGCCUCAGGAACUUUUUAUGGCUGAAACAAUACAAGUGCAGAUAUAUAUCUAGUUACCAAAAUAUUACAAAUAUUUUAGAAGGCUUAACAGCUUAAGAAAGCUUAAGAAGGCUUUAACAGCUUAAGAACCUAAAAAGCAACAUUUUAGGUUUCCAUAAUGAAUGUCCAAGAACAGCAUUACGGUUUGGUUUUGAGAGCUCCUUCAAGGACUGAGAAUGUGAAAUUAGAAGAUGAUCGGCACCUAUGCUCACAAACAACUAGCUAAAGUCUGGAGCGCAGUCCAAGCACCAAUUGAACCUAAGCCUUUUCUCUCCAAAGGUAUUGCAGCGAUCUGGGAGUUUAUUUUUACAGCCUGAGAUGUCAGUAUGCCACAGAAGCAUGAAAAUCUCACCAUCUGUAUGCUCAUGGACAGUUCAUCAAGAACACUCAACGACAGCCUCAGAAUAACAAAAAUUAAACGUUAUUACUACCGCCUAACCACACAUACGCUCGAAUCUAAUUUAAAUAGUAUUUAACCUGAGUUAUCGUCCUGCUUACCUCAGGCCCAAAACAGUUUCAUACCUUUCAGUGUUUGCUUACCCGUAGGAAUCCUGUCAUAAACCAGGCACAUGCUGUUUGAAAUAACACUCGUGAAAUUAAACGGGAGUUUACACAGAGACGGCCGUGAUUUAAUUUUGCCGAGUGCUGUUCCGCAGCCCGGGGAAGGUUCAGGAGGCGAGCAAUGGCUUCACCUGGCAGCUUACCUAGCGUGUCGGGUAGUGGCCUUCUGGGCGCGUGUGCCUUGCCAGUGCCAGGAGACAGGGAUGUGUUUUAGUUGGAACUCUUCUAGCAGACACUACAUAGUUUAGAUUAACUCCUUUCAGUAGUACAGCAUCAAUGUGUU